rnacentral:rRNA from 1 species
UUGCGGUUAAAAAGCUCGUAGUUGGAUUUCGAUUGGGAACUGGCGGUCCACCUCUUGGGUGAGUAUCUGCAUAGGUCUCGGUCUCCUCUCGUUGGACGUUUCUGCGCUUGAUUGCGUGGUGCGGACCACGGGACUUUUACUUUGAGGAAAUUAGAGUGUUCACGGCAGGCAAACGCCUUGAAUAUAUUAGCAUGGAAUAAUAAUAUAGGAUCUUGGUUCUAUUUUGUUGGUUUCUAGAGCUAAGAUAAUGAUUAAUAGGGACAAUUGGGGGCAUUCGUAUUAACGCGUCAGAGGUGAAAUUCUUGGAUUGCGUUACGACGAACUACUGCGAAAGCAUUUGCCAAGGAUGUUUUCAUUGAUCAAGAACGAAAGUAAGGGGAUCGAUGAUGAUUAGAUACCGUCGUAGUCUUUACCAUAAACUAUGCCAAUUAGAGAUGGGACAUCGUUCUACUUUGACUUGUUCCGCACCUUAUGAGAAAUCAAAAUUUUUGGGUUCCGGGGGGAGUAUGGUCGCAAGGCUGAAACUUAAAGGAAUUGACGGAAGGGCACCACCAGGAGUGGAGCCUGCGGCUUAAUUUGACUCAACACGGGGAAAACUCACCA